CCCCCCCCCCACACACACACACACACACCCCCCCUUCUCCUGCAUCUCCACCUAUUCCCUCUCCCAGCUCACCCAGUUUUUAUUUUUUACAGGCACAUUAAGGUUGGGCAAGACCUGUUUCACGGUACGGCUGUCUUAAAAUAACAGCACUGCGUUUGUCUAUCAGAACCCAACCAUCAACCAUCACAGCACGGGCUGCUGCCCCUCCUCUGAUGAGACAGGAGCGCACAGACUGCUCGACUGAAUGAAAGGAAAAAGGCCACACCACUAGCAGCAAAGGUCUGUUUAAAACAGGUUUUUGUUCUGCUCUUUUGCUUUCAUUUAUUUGUUGUGUCUCCCCACUGCAAUACUAGAGAAAGGGCAAGACAAUACCGGAGAGGGAACUGCUGAGCCUUGCUUUCCAUCUUUCAUUCUUUCAUUUGCUGCUGCGUAGAGGGCCAGUACACUACGUGAGUGCAAGGUUGUAGACUAAUGUCAAUAGGGGGACAAGAGCUAACAGGCCUAUGUCCAUGAUUUCAUGGACUCAGAUGUAUUAACAUAGUGUUUUUGAAUUAUUUAUCAUAUUUAAUAAAUAAUGCUAUUAUAAUUAAAAGUCCUUGUAGUAGUAAUUUUAGAAAUUAUGUGUAUGGUUGUGGCCUGAUUGAAUACUCAAUCCUGAUUGGGUGAAGGGGAUGGAUUUUUUCAUACAUUCCCUAAAGGAUGUGCUUUAUUGCAUGGUUGGUUGCUAACCCUAGAUGCAAGAUUUGCUUUCACAGCAACAGAAUGUGUUGGCUUCAGUGCUAACUCCUGUUUUAGAUAAAGCAUUGCUGUGUAGCCAAAGUUUCUGUAACAAAUAAUAAUAAUCACAUACACAGUGAAAGGAGAGGAGAGAGGAGGAGUGGGGAGAAGAUUAGAUCAGAGAAGCUAAUAACAGAGUAAAGCAGAGCAGAGUACAAUAAGGUACAGUAAAGUAGUAAAGUCUUCAUCAAGUACUCAUCAAUGAUGCACACCUUUUUUGCUCAAAUAUUGUUUCAACCUUUUAAAACUUUUUUCAAAACCUUUAUUAGAAAAUAUUUUUUCAACUUAAAAAAAAAAGAUUAAAAAAUAUAUAUUUUCUCAUAUUUUCAUAUACAUAGUGAAAGUAGAGGAGGAGUCCAGCAAAAUACUGUACAGUAGAGUAUUCAUCAAAUGAUGCAAAACAUUUUUAUUCUAAAAUGUUGUAUACCUUUCAAAACAAACACUUUUUUUUCUCUCCAGAUGGGGUUGAUGAAAACUUGUUAUUUAUUUUUUUUUUUAAACACAUUUUUUUCUACACACAAAAAAAACUUGUAUAGUGUUUUCAAAACUAUUAACUUGUUGCCUUUGGCCUUCUUCUUCUCCAUGGUAGCUUCGUAGACUAGCUUAGUUUGUUGUGCGUGAUAGCCUGGAAAUUUUAAAAAGUGCACAAAGAAAUAAUAUUGAUCAUGCCACCAAAUACAGAUUAAAGCCAAAGUAAUGAGGCUUUAAAAUGUAAGAAGUAGAAAGUACAGAUAUUUGUGUAAAGAGUUUAAGGAGUGAAAGUAGAAAGUUGUCAGAAAAAUGAAUAGAGAAGUUAAGUACUGGUACCAGAAACAACUACUUAAGUACAGUAACGAAGUAUUUGCACUUGUAUUUGUAAAAAGUAUCUGUACAACCCUAAUAGAAAUGAGUGAGUCUCGCACAGCGAAUGACUUGCGAGCCCUGUAUCACUUACUGCUGGGAGAUUGUGGGAGAUUGAGGGUUUGCCAAAAUCUAACUUUGAAUCAUGAGUUGUGAAAGCAUGGGAUGGAUUUUGCUUGCAUUGGAUUUAACCUGGUUUUACCUGAUAGCGAGCCAACCAGCUCGUUUCACAACGUAGACUAUAAUUCAUCAAAGUGCAGCAUGACUGACUGGAAUUUUAAGUUAGAAGAAAAUCAUACUUUGGAAUGCCAUGUUGGCCAAUCAAAAUGCAUUGUCAUAACUAUGUAUAACUAUACAUGUUUUUAUGUUUAUUUGUGUAUGUUUAUUAGUUCUUCUAGCAUUGGCUGUAGGCCUAAGCACUCUAUUACGACCCAUCAUACCAUUACAACUCAUAAAACACAACUAAAGACAGAAAAACAUCUAAAGGGGAGCCCUACAAAUGAUAUUAGUUUCAUCUUAAUAUCUUGGUGAUGGCGGUAAUGAGUCAUCACUGCAGUAUUUGGAAGUUGCGAGGGGUGAUGCUGCGAAGCUGUAGGGCUGAAUUGGUGAGUGCGCUAGCGGUGUGGUUCUGGGAACGAAUCACAGAUGUCAUUAGCGAGUGAGUGGGGGUCUGUGUGGGUGGUUAAUGGGACCGAUGGAUGUUGCAGGAAAAGCUUUAAAAGAGUGCAUCUCUAUCAUUUUAAAUGGCUUUCUCAUAGUGCGAUUUCUCAUUCCGCUGUGUUAAGACAUUUUGCCGCAUUUUUAUCUUUGUGUGUCCUCAAAUGUGUUAAGAAACAAAAGUAUAGCGAAGCACUACUCAAAACUCCACAAGUAGGCCUACAACAGAUUUCCAAUACUUAAAGUGUUACCGCUGUCGUUGAGUAUGUUGGAGAAUAUUGCCAGCGUAAAGGUAAAAUUGGGUGGUUCCGGUUACAUUUCAUGUCUUUUUGAUAAUUGUAACAAUUUAUAGAAUCUCACUUUAAUGACACUACUGUAUUGAAUAGUUAACUAUUACAGUAUUAAAAGGUUUGUUUUUUGCCUUUUCCCGUAACUUCUUUAACUGCUGUCAAUGUUGGUAAACUAAUGUUGCAAUACAAUUUGUGUUUACUAAUUAAUUAAGCAACACUUGAAUGCUUGUAGCUACGGCAUGUACAGCAUGAUCAUACAGUACAUGGAGGAUUAUGUACUGUCCUAAAUGGAGAUGUGGUGUUUAUCUGUUCGCUAAGAUAUGCCUGUGGGUUAGCCUUGCUCCAGGCUUUGCCACAAGCAUACAGGAUGUGACCUGAUGAGAUCUCCCUGUGGGUCACUCCAUUAUGAGCACGGUCUACCAGCAGGACAACAUCAAAUGCCCUCCUCUCACCCACUAGGGCAAAUAGCUGAACGUAUUGUUACCUGGAUUGGUUUACCAGAACAUAUUCAACACUAGGUGGCUAUUAGAAGGCCAGGUCAAUACACAGGGAAGACAAUUAGAAAUGUGUGCGUUUAUAUGAUGUCGCAAUAAUGUGUAUCAGAGUGGGUUGUCUCAAUGUAUCCUUAAAGCAUAUCUAGUCUUUACACAUGUUCUUAUGCCAUUAACUGCAAACUGGAUGGAGAAACAGGUCUGUUGGGUUUCUUUGUUCAGUAAAGCAUGCAUCCUGUGUUGGGGGACUGUAUAAGGAAUAGCAAUGAACCACUUUAGCUCCCUUGCGGUGUGAAGUGUCUAAGGACAGACUGGCUACCUCCAACCUCAAAGGACUAAACAGUAUGGCUGCACACUAAUAGCCAGUGGACCUCCUGAGUUCUUCUUUAUCAUCCCAUUCCCAGCGCAUGUCGAUCCUGUUUUGGUCUCAGUGCUGUCAGAUCACAGUCCUUGGUGACCCAGGCCUGAUGCUCUGCCCACUGCAAUCAGGAUAACAACAGGUGGUCCCGUCGCUUAGAUGAAAUGAAGACAAACACAAAAUACAACUCAUUGGAGUCUGUUUGCCCCUGCUUCUGUCCAUCUGGGAGCCAAGCUGCAUGUAAGAGUUGAUGAGAAAGUUGGGGCCGACUGGCCAGCCAUGACAAAAAUAGAUUACUCGAGAAUGAGAGAGACAGACAGGCUCUCUCUCUCUGUGUCUCAAAGGAGUGUUAAAGUCAUGUGGAUACAACAUGUGAAUAAUUCAGAUAUUGGAAAAAAUAGAAUGUCUUUGAUUAGAAUAUUAGUUUUCUAUUUUAUUUAAAAGGAGGUAGGCAAAUACCUGCAGUGUACAAGAUGAUAUUAUGAUGCCAAAUGAUGGUUGUUCUGUACCUUAAAGUGAAAACACAUGACCAAGUAAUGUAUUCAAUGCACAUUCUCAACCAGUCCAUUAGUUUGUCCACCAGGAAAGUCAUUAUCAUUGUUUAGCUUUUUUUGCCAGGUUGAAAUGAAAACAAGUUGGGGCGUAGUGUUAUGUUUACCUUGAAGCAAAAAAUUACCAUCCAUGAACCAUCAAUUUUUUCUGUAUUUUUCCUCCCUCUCUCUUUCCAGUAUGAUGAGUGUGGACUGUCUCCUUAGUCUCAUUUACAUAAAUAAAUGCAUUAUGUUUGGAUCCAGGGGGUUGUAGCGGUAAUUCAUAUCUCUAACACAGUUACUCUCCUCCUCACAGAACCUUCAAAGUGAAAUAUGCAACCAAGGAUGACAAAUUAGAGGAGCCACUCUAAUGUGUUACAUUCUGAUGUAGUGGUUAUUUUGGUGAUGAACAUUUUAGCUGUAAAGGGGAGAUCUAUGACUGUCAAGCACAAAAACCCUAACUUGGCAUUUUCUUACAAUAAUCACAAUAAUCAUUUAAAAUAAUGUAUUAUGUUUGAACGAAGAAAGUAACACAUGCUUUAUACCCUUGUGCUUUAUAACAUUGUUAAAAGGUAAAACUCAUUGUUUUGUGAGUUUUGAUGCAACUGGAGACCAAGUGUUGUGAAUACCGACCACUGAACAAUCUGUCAAAUGGAGCAAUAGACCAUACGCAUUAAUAGGCUGUUGCCUGUAAGCAACUUCCUCUGGUAACCAUGGAAACAAAUGUUCUGUAUUUGGAAGUUUGUGAAAUUGUGAAAACAUUUGUUUGGGUAAUGUGCAUACUUUCAUGACAUAUGACAUCGUUUUCAAGAUGCACAUAUGUUAACAUUCGAAUGGGAAUUAUGAAGAAUUGUAUCCAUUUCUUACGCCCACAUUAUAACACUCUUAUAUUGUAAGGUAUAUAUGUGAUGUUCUGAUGGAAAAGUAAGAUAUCAUUAUUUAAAUUUUUACCUCUAUGUAACUGCACUAAAGUUGGAAUCUCACAAACUAGUUGAAAACAACCGUAAUCAACGUCUCCUUAUGGAGAGUUCAUGAGCUAACAUUAUAGGUACAUCAUUCAUCCUUAAAAUGAUUGCAUCCAGGUACAGAGUAAUAGAGAAAUACGAUCACUGAAUGUGUUUUCUAAUUGCAUUUUCCCUCUUUGCACACAGAGCCAGUGAAACACCAGCAGUUUCUUUAGAU